UACCAGUGGGAGAGGAUCUCUUUCUGGAGUUCCUUCUUUUUGGAGCUUUCCAGCAAGCCCAGGAUAAGGUUCAGAUUAAGUAAUGGAGGCAUGAUCAUUCCACUUCCGGACAGAACAGUCUUUGAAGAAACUGAAAGGAAGACUUGUGCAAAUAAUGGAAAUUUUGGUUCAGUGGCUUUGCAUUGCAAGGUGAAGAAGGUGCAAAUAUCUUUAAGAUCAGCAGGUAGCAGCUUGCUUAGAGGCUCGAGCUUACCCUGGAGUACCUGAAGGAGGAAAAAAGUGCAUCAAUAUAUGGUGUUUAUGACGGUGAGAAGAAUGGGGUAAGGGGUGGCAAGCAGAACUGUACAGAAGAACAGGCACAGUGGGAAAAAAAAAGACAACAAUUAUUCACCCUGCACUGAAGGUUUGUCGUUGUUACAGUAGGAGAGAGAAAAGGGCUGUUAUGCAGAAGUUCCAUGAAAACUCACUGCAGUGUUUCAUUCAUAGUAAACUUUACCAUGCAUGGGUAAAUGAUCAGCCUAAUUACAUCUCUUAUAUCUACUGUAGGAGUCUCAUUAUUUCCUUCUGUUCCACCAUCUGUCUCUGCCCAUCUGUUUUCUCUUAUGGUUGGCCUGUAAGUUCUUUGGGGUAGAAUUUGUUUUUAAUUUCUUUUUAUGGCAUCUAAUUAAGGGGAUUCUGGUUUGAAACUAGGAAUUGUAAGCAAAGUAAUAGAAAAUGUCUCAUAAUAGAGCUUGCAUAUGUAAGAAACUGUGUUAACUAUGAGUUAUAAGCACUUGAAUACCUCAAGACUUCACAUUUCAUGAAAGUGUAAGGCAUUCUCUUAAACCAUAAUAUUUGAUAUCUGGCUAACCUGUGCAUCAAUUCCCUUUAUUUUUCCUCAUGUCAGAAGUGCACAGGUCAAUGCAUUUGAUCUGUAACUUUUUUUUUUCUGAACUUUCUUAUAUGCAGCAUGCUAGUCGGAAUGUGUUUCCAAUUGGUUGUCAGUGAAUUACAAUCCCUUUUUUAUUAUAUUUUUUUUCCUUGAUGCAGAUGUAGGUAUUCUAUUCACUGUCCUUGGAUUUCAGCUUGAGUCUCUCUCGUUUUGGGAUUAUUCACUGCCCUGAAAAAUUUUAAAACCAGCCAAGCAGCACUCUCAUGUCCGUCAAAAUAAUCUCAUUUAAAGAAAUGAUGAUGUGGAAUUCCUAGAGCAGUGAAACUGUUCUGAACAAAAUACGUGUACAAUAAAAAUAUGAAAAUUGAUAAAAAAAAUAUUGAUUUACAACUUUGUUGAUGAUUGAGGGCAAGGAUGUGUUUAACAUAUGUAUUAAUAUUUCAUAAAAUCUAAUUAUUGCUGUAGCAUAUGUUAACUGGGUAUUUAGGAUUUAAAUAUGCACUCUGAUAGCUCCUUUCUUGUUCAUUGUUGUGGACAUGUGCUUGCACAAAGUCAAACAUUGGUCUAGGAGACAUACAAAAUUGUUAUUAGUGGAUUUGAUUCCUCUGUGACACCUAUCUCUUUGUAUGUUUCCUAGUUUUUAAGCCCAAUAGCAGCGCCCUUAACUUGUCCAGCUGAAAUUUCCCUUUGGAUGAGUUUAAUGCAUUUUCUCUGGGAUUUCCUUAAUCUUAAACGGACCACAGGAAAAGUUUAAGGCUAGGAUUCAUAGUGGAAGUAAGAACUACUAAAGUUUUGAGAGUAUGGCAGUCAUGAGUUGUAAGUAUCUUCAAAGUCUGAUGAAUUGAUAACCAGGCUGUUAGAUAGGAAACAAGAAAAUUUAGUCUGUGGAAAAUUUUGGUUAAUGUAUCUAUUACUAAAAGAUGUGUAAACAAAGUCAAAUCAUCAGUUGCUUUAGGCUGGGUAUAGCCGUAGAAAUGCUUAAGGCAGCUUCCUCAAUAAAUGAAGAGUCAAAACAGCAGUCCAUGGAGUGACAACAUGUGAAUGUCAAAGAAAAUCUUCAAGACACAGCCAUCAGCGGGUAAAGAGAUGUGCACUAUUUUGGGGAGGAUAGGAAAGGGGUGAUUCUUCUACAUCUCCUGGAACAUGGACAAGCCAUUAACUCUGACUCCUACGCUGCAGUGCUGACUAAGUUGAGGGCUUGAACUUCCAGAAUCAGGCAGAGAAGAGGACAACCUUUUUUUUGCAACAUGAUAACA